AAAUUUGUCAGUUCUCUUGCUCUGUCUGACAUUUCUUUAGUAGACUCCAGAUUUGCACUUGCUUUCUCAAGCAGCAUUUAUUCCUAGAGGGCCAUUACAGCAUCUCUUCAAUUCUUGGAUCCCAUACCAAAGAUGUAGAUGAGUGUCCAUUGAUAGUGGAAAAAGAAAAACUCCAGCUUAAUAUAAAACAAAGAUUUGGGCAAAGGAUGGUUAUCCUGCUCUUAUUUUUUCUGACGUGUGCGUGAGGAGGUCUUGCAGACCAGCACAAGAAAUUCAGUGAUAUGGAUCACAAGGAUUAUGAAUGCAAAUUGAAUAUAGAGACAAAGUAGUAGAUGACAUCAAGGAAAAGCCACCAAACAUCUGCUUAGAAGAAGACCAGCAUCUGCUAAAAACAACCAAAGACAUAUUUGGUCACCUGCAGGGUGACCAAACCCUUGCACUGCUCUACAAUGCUGCAAUAGCUCCAUUAUCCUGCCUGGUUUUGCUAGAGGAAAUUAAAAGAAGUGAGCAUCAAAAUUUUAAAGGUAUGAAGAGGGUAUGCAUUCCCUCCCUGUAGCAGUUCUAAACACUGUAGAAAAAAAGCAGCAGAUCUGCAAGAAGAGGUAGAAAGCUCUGCUGUAUUUACAUAUAAUGAUGUGAGUAAGCAUAAAGACACCACACACAAACAGAAGACAUGAACAAAAAGAUAGCAUAUUUUGGAAGAGAUGAUCUGUGUGUGAAAGAAGUUCUAGACACACUGGGCAAAUCCCAGUAAACAUUGAGAAAGUCAAGAAACAGAAAAAUUACUGAUUUGUAUUGUUUUGCUAAGAACUGACAUUCUGUGUGGCAUCUAAAGAAAAACAAAUGUGCACAAAACCUCUGCAAGCCUGUUGGCAACAUAUUUUUUUCUUGCAAAUCUAUGAGAACAGCAACUAUGGGUUCCUGGGAAAUGUGUAUCUAAGGCAGUCAGCGAUGAACCCAGAGCCAAGGGAAGCUCAGCUAUGAUGUGCCAUGUCUGGAAAAUGACACCAAUACCUUUACAAAGCAUUUUUGAAAGGACAAGUGUUGUCAGGACAUCCCUUGCAGAGCAAGGAAAGCUUGCAAGCAAAAAAGUGUACUGUGAUGGGCAUCCAGCUGGGAAGAGAUAUGAGUGCUAUAGAUACAGUUCUUAACCUUUCCUUUGUUAAAUUUAUAGUUUGAGCUCCCUCAGUCCCUCACAGUCCUUUAAUAAUUCUCCUGGCUUUCCUUUAAUCCUCUCCAAUUUAUCAAUGCCCUCUCUGAACUGAGGGAUCGAAAGUCACAGCCACACAAGGAAAUGCAGAAGCAGCAUGAUUCAUUUCUACUCAAUAUUUUCACGUUUAUAUCUCACAUUUGCUUCUUUUGCUCUGAAAUUGUACUGAGUGUUCAUGUUUGGUGUGACUUCUUACAUCUUUUUAAGAGCAGCCACUUUUCAAGGCAGAACUUGUCAGACUAGAAUCAGCUUCUACUCACACAUAAAUAGACUGAAAAUUGAGUCGACUGCACUGAAUUACAAACUGUAUAUUUAUUAUAUGUUUACUAAGUAACCCACAUUUCCCUUGUGAAUACGAUUUUUUUGUCAUUCCUUUAUGUGAGUGUACAUGCAUAAGCUGUAAAUUCAAUCAAGAGUGGUUUUGUUUCCAACCCAUUGAUAACAAUAUUAAAUAGUAAAAGGCCAAGAACUGAUCCUUGCAGACCUCAGACAUCAGUAAGAAAGCAGUGUUUAAUCAAUAUGAACUGUUCCACUGAUUUUCUAUCAUCUGGUUUCUUAAUCAAAAUGUCUUGUACUAAACCAAACAAUUUACAGAAAUGGAAAUGGUAAAUUGCACUAUCAGUGUUAUCAAUGAAACUUGUAAAAAGCCAGGCUGCCUAGUAUUUUUCUCAAUCAACGUCACAUUAAUUUGAUAAGUACAUAUUUAUACUAAGAAUGCCAAACCAGCUAGAUGCUGAGCAUUCAGGAGUUCACAUACAAAAUUCAGCACGACAACCAUGCUCAAUCAUCAUUAGAACUUUCAGGCAAAAAGAAGACAUAGACAUCAAUCAUCCGACAGUCCUUCUGAAGUAUAUCACUUUCCCCUAU
rnacentral:lncRNA from 7 species